UAUUCCUCCCCAACUUUGCCUCUGCGCCGCCACACGCGAGAGACGCCCCAUCCCAACCACCCGACUCCGCGUCUCCCGCCCGAGACCGGCCGCCGCCGAUGAGGGCCACGCCGGCGCUACCCCUCAGCCCGCCUUCCUCCUCUUUCCACUCUGUUCCCCUCGUUCUCUCUCCGCCCUAUGGUCAGCAGCGACCACCCAAGCUCGCCCCGAUCCAUUGCCCUCUCCUUUUGCCCAGCUUGGGUCCAUCGCCGGCCGUCCAUGGGGCGAGCGUUGCGCCUCCUCCUGAAGCUCCUAUUUUUGUGCCGCCACGCCUGCACUGCCCACCAGCACCUACCGAGAGCUCAUGGUCGCCUUCUGCCAAGCUGCCAGAUUGAUGGCCGACCGCCGCCAUGACCGACCUCAACCUUGUGCACGCCAUGGGCAGCGGCCAUGGAGGCCGCACCUUCAGCCUCUCGCUCGCCGCCAGCUAGGACCUCUAUGAACAUCUCAUUCAUCUAUAUCAAGGACCAAUCUACGUCACCUGAGGUUGACAGUAGUUCGGCCAGGGGCAUCACGACCACAUCCUGAUAUCCUCUGCCUUGGGCACGGUCACCACUGCUUUCCUUCCUUGGAGCAAAGAAUUAUGAGCUCUCCUGUACACGGCUGAAGCGCCUACAGAAUCAUGGGGUCAGGAAAGCAAUGAAAGUUAGCAACGGGAGAUCGUAGCGAUGUCUGAACGGCCGUCUGCUACUGAAGCUCGUCCACCAUCCUCUCUCUGAUGAGAUCAAAAGCCUCUUCGCUCCUUCACUAUGAGGUAAUGAAUCACCCAAACAGACAAUGUGCAUGUGUGUAGGCGAGAAGUUGUCCCUGUCUGAAUUUUGCAUGACAAGUUCUGCUGCUGCAAAGAUUUCUUUAGGACCAUCGACAUGGAUGUUCAUGUCAGGAUUUCUUUAGGAGCAUCUACAUUCAGGACAAUAUGUAUGCAUGUCGAGAAAAAAAUAUAUUUUAAGAUGUGUGUUUUAUCAUAUAGUUCAACCAAUACAUAUUUUUUAUGGAUCAUUCGCAUUUGGCAAGUUUUUACUCACACUGCAUUUUCAGCUAUGCAUGUGAAUGCUUGGGAAGACACUACAUGCAUAGUUAACUUUUGUUCUGGUUCAAUUCUUUGUUUUUUCUGACACUUUUCUACUGAGAAUGCUUUGCCAUUAAUUUUUGUCCCCGUUGAUCUAUUUUCCUCUUAGCAUCAUCCAUCUUCAUUGCCCCAUGACCGGACUUGCUUUCCCGAAUGCACGAACAAACAUCUGCUCUGUAUGCACGGCAAAAUUUAGUUCCAUUCAAUGCCAUCACAUGACCCCCUUACAGUAUGUGAUCCUUUGGUUCAGAUGUGGCAUUUUCUCAUUUGAUUGUUCAUUAAAUCUGCAAGCGAGCUAUUUUAGUUAGAUGCUCUAAAAGAAAAUGAAGGGUCGUUCCAAGAGGUUAGUGUCAAAUAAAAAAAUUCCAAAGAAAUGUAGUGCAAAAGAAUUUGUACAACUCUUCCUAUAGGAUUAAUUCACUCAUACAAAUAGGUGCGGCCCAUAGAAAAACAAGCAUAUGAACUCAACCCUCUGAAUUUUCCAUGAAAAGAUUUUGAAUCAAAGAGACCCAAAGGUGGAAUAAAAAGAUUACCGUGGCCACAACUAUUAUCAAAAUGUUUCUCAGAUGUGGAAAUAUGGAGGGGAAGGAUCCUCGACCAUCAUGAUGCGUCCCUCGACCAGAAUCUCCAUCAAAUCAUGUCGCAUUGCAACUUUCAGAGUAACGUCGAAUGUCGCCGGCGGAGGAAAAUCAUCCGACGAGCCGUCCAAUGUCAGGUCCACCGGCGAAAGAAGAACAUCCGUCGAGCCGUCCAUCGUCUGAGGUGGCUACACCAGAGGUAUGUCUCCCCUUGAAAGUUAAUCAGUGAUACAAGACCCUGUUUCAGUUUGCUAUUUGUGAAAAAUUGGCGCUACUUCCGAUUGCUCUUCAGAUUCUGUUUCCCCCCUUAGUUCUCUGUAUGUUCAUGUGCUUCCCAUUGAAUCUUCAGUUCUCAAAUUCACUGCAACUUACAAGCAACCCUGAUGCAAAACCUAGAUGCCUAUAUUGAUGCGUAAAAAAAGACUAAUGACUUGCGUUUCAGUUUGGGACAUGCAUGGCUGCAUGUGCGUAUCUACAUCCACUCAUUGGUUCACUAGCACAUAUAGUGGUGUAUGGAUCAUUGCUCAUCUUCUGGCCAUACAAUUCCAGAAAAGAAAGAGUUUCGGCCAUAUCAUGCUCACAUUAGCAUCAAAUAGCUAACACGGAGUUAAAUGCUGAGAUGUUACUUUAUAAUAGCUUAAACAACAAAAACUUUAAUGGCUUAUUUUUAAUUCAUAUGUUUCAGUAGCCGUCUAAAGAAUCAUGACACGUGGCCUUCUAACUUUUACUUUGCUGGAGGCAUUAAACCAACUACUUCCUCUGUUUUUUGAUUUAUUUUGCAUUAUGUUUCAGCUAAUCAGCAAUACACGCCCUUGUUUCAGUUUAUUUUUUCUGAAAAAUUGGUGCUACUAGCCAAGGAUUGAACCAAGAAAUUUCAUGUUGCUGACUACAUAUACCUGAACAUGGUGGCUUGAACUUGGUUACAGUAAUUCUUGGACAUGAUGCUAGAGUGAUACCUUGCAUCUUUCUCAAAAUAAUGGUACACUUGUCAUACGUGUCAGGAGGCUUGGCAUGUGGUAGAAGAAAACAGAGAAUUCCUGCUAGCAUCCAUUUGCUAGCCUCGGCAGUGAAUUGCAUAGUGAAACUCGUACUCCUCAAAAAUUCCAAGUUUAGUCUGAACAUUAAUCUUCAAAAAAACAAAAUAUUCCGAAUUAGGUAUUUCUGGAGCCAUCACCUAUGUCACCAACUAUGUCCACAUCUACUCCAGUUUCUGAGUGUUUUGAAUCGAUUGUGCCCGAAUCAGAUAAUUAGAGAGAUCGUGAUCCAUUGGCAUCACCUCCAUCCCCAUCUAGCUCGACAUCAUCUCAUGUUUUUUCAUUACAUGAUGUCAAGGAACCAGAUUCACAUAAAGAGAUCAAAGUCGAUGAGACAUAUGAUUAUCUCCCACAAGGUAUUUAUUUGAUUUAUUAUGUGUACUUUCAUGAAUUAUAAUCAGGAAAAUCCAAAGUAAAAUUGGUAUGUCAAAUAGUACAAUUCAUCUCGAAAUGUCAAAUGACUCAAAUUUCUGAUUCCAUUUUUGACAUCUAAACGCAUAACUAAUAUUGUUUUCCUACCAAUAUGCUUGUGUAGGGAGCCCAAUCGGUGGAGGUGAUUUGUCAAAGAGAAUUCUAGCAGCCAACAGUUAAUAGGCGGUGAGCAGGGAGACAAUGAACAUGUAGAGCUCGAAGUUUUUUUUUAGAAAGCAAAGCUGGAGUUUGGUUUGUACUUAAGACAUCACUUAAGAAGUUCUUCACCACAUGUAAUUUUUUUUGGAGCUUGGAAGGAUAUACAUUUUUGGGGUUGCCAAUUAUAAGAGUUAAUGGAGUGCUUUAAAA